CCGCCGUCGACUCUAGCUCCAUCGUGGUACGUCGCCUCUGCCGACUCCAGCCCAUCGACUACGCAGCUCUAGUCGUCGCCGCCAGUUGUUGCCUCCAGAUCCGCUGCCUCUACGUCGGUGCCGCCUCCAGAUCCGCUGCCCCAGUCGUCGCCUCCGCCGCCUCCACUUUGUUAGUUUGAACGGAAGUGAAGAACAUGGCACCGUAUUGUUCCUGAUGGAGGCAAAAAAUAGUUAGUCUGUCUAUUUCGGGACACAAUGUGUUCUAUCUACUCCUUCAGCUCCAACAUCAACUGCGACAACUAUAGUGCUUGAUAUGGAGAAGCUGCGAAUAAUGUCCAUGGAAGCUCAUUCAAAUCAAGCUACCGCAGAUAGGCCAUGGACUUAUAUAGGGGCAAUUGGUCCACCAACAGAGGCAAAUUUUGGAUCAAGUUUGGCAAAAGAAACUCUUCUUACAAGUGAAGAGGCUAUUAUAGCUGCUGCUUCUGCCAAAGCAGUUACUCUUGCAAAAGCAGUCGUGGGGUCAUGAGGAUAAGUGACAACAACUUUAUAGGAAAGAUACCAGAUUUCAUCAGGAACUGGACAAAGAUCGAAAAAUUGCAUAUUCAAGGUUGUCCACUUGAGGGGCCAAUUCCUUCUAGCAUUUCUGCUUUGACAAGCGUAACUGAUCUAUUGGGUCUGCUGUUGGUGGAACGAGAAGUGCGUUCUAUGGAUUUAACCAUGGUAUGUAGCUUUGGUAUUUUUAAUCUCCGUUCUUCUUGGUGUUCCGUACCCUUGGAUACCCAGCUUGAUGUUCAGUUAGGUCAGGAUACUUGUGCAUGAACUACAUCUUACAUUUCUUUGUGUUCCUACUGCUGUUACUUGACAUGUUCUUUAUUCUUGAACACAUGUUGUUCUCUUAUUAUGGCUUGAAACUCGCUGCUUUUGUGUUAUAAACUUAUAAUCCAAUGGAUUUUUUCUCAUUUCCUGGGUGGGUCAUGGAUUUGCAUAUGCUUUCCACGCAAUAAUGAGUGUUAGUUUGAUUUGAAUUAGCAGUUUUAGACCAAGAUAUCUUGGGGGAGAGCUACAUUUUUUAUGAGCUUUUUCUAAAAGAAUAAUUUUUCUUUGACUCUUCUUUUUGCAAUUUUUCCUGGCGAUGGUAUGUAUUACUUGAAAGUUGUAUUUAUAGUGCGUGAAGGAAAAGCAAUCUGUUAAAAAUUAAGGUGGCUGGUUUUUAUCUAGAAGAAUGAUAUAAAUUAGUUGAACAAGAAAUAAGAAGGUAUUAGUUUUCCAUUUUUUUUUCUAUGCUCUACUGGCUUAACUUUUCUUCUGCAUCAUGUAUUGUUGAAUUUGUUGGAUAUGGCAUUUUUUUAUCUUUGUUUUUUCUUUGAAGUCGGGGGAUCAUUCAUGUUCAUUGCUGCCCCUCAAUACCAUCCAAUGAUACAGUUGCUGCCCUCAAUACCAUCCAAUGAUACAGCUGCUGCCCCUCAUUUGUUAGCCCCUCCCCAGGUGCCAAUGGUGUUGUCUUGGAAGAUAAGAGUCCCGAGCCCUUCUUCAUGUGGUUGCCUCAUAAUCAAUCAGAUCAUUAGGAGGAUCCGUCAUUAGCAUAGAUAGAUUUUAGGUUAUAACGCUUCUUAAAUAGAGAUAUUCAUAUAUAAUAUUAGUAUUAGUAUUAUUACUAUUAUAUAUUUAUGCAUGAUUUUUUUAUUUAUUUCGUAUAUUAUGUGUAUUAGGUUUAAUUAUGAAAUUUUGAAAGAAAAUGAUUUUUAUUUUUUUUUAAUUUAGUUUAAAUUUGAGAUUGAUUUUGAGACAAAAUUUGUCUCAAAUUCUAAAUUGUUUUAAAAUCUGUCUCAAAUUAGAGAUUAAAAAACUUCGUUUCAAAAUCUGUCUCAAAUUACAGACAAAAAAAUUUGUCUCAAAAAUUUAUUUCAAAUUAGAGAUGAAAAAAAUUCGUUUCAAAAUUCAUUUGAAUUAUGGACGAAAAAAUUUGUCUCAAAUUAGAGAUGGAAAAAAUUUGUCUCAAAUCUUAUGAUAAAUUUUUUGAUAGCUCGAAAUUUGUCCUAAAUCGAAAAUCCGUUUAAAAAAUUUGUCUCAAAUUUUGUGACCAAUUUUUUUUUUAUGACCCCAAAAUUCGUUUCAAAUUGAAAAUUAUCUCAACUCAUCUAUUUUCU